rnacentral:rRNA from 1 species
CCUUAAAUUUAGUUAUCUACCUACAACAUGGACAUAAAUAAAUCCUUUAUAAAACAAAACAUUUACACGAUUUAGUAAAAGCGAUCGAAAUUCAAUUAAAAACUAUAAAUAAAGUACCGCAAGGGAAAAAUGAAAUAGAUGUAAGACAAAAGCACAAAAAAGUAGAGACUACCUCGUACCUUUUGCAUCAUGGUCUGACUAGAAAAAUCAAGCAAAACGUAAUUAUAGUUUGCCCCCCCGAAACUAAGUGAGCUACUUUAAAAUAGCUAUCGAGCCAACUCGUCUCUGUCGCAAAAGAGUGAGAAAAUUUUUAAGUAGAGGCAAUAAACCUACCGAACUUAGAGAUAGCUGGUUACUUAAGAAAAGAAUAUGAGUUCAACCUUAAAUUACAUUUGCACAAUAUAAGCAAUUUUAAGAGCUAUUCAAAUAGGGUACAGCCUAUCUGAAGCAGGAAACAACCUAAAAGACUGGGUAUUAAGCAUAGCAGUAUUCAAGUGGGCCUGAGAGCAGCCAUCUUUAAAAAAGCGUCAAAGCUUAAACACUAAACAAUAAAAAUUUUUGUCUAAUAACCAAACCCACCACCGCUAUUAAGUGACUUUAUAAUUAUAUAAAAAAUAUUAUGUUAGAAUUAGUAAUAAGAAAUUGUUUUUCUCCAAAAUAUGAGUGUAACGCAAAACAAACCAAUAGCCGCCAAUUACUGUAUAUAAGCCCUAUGUAGCAACUCCACAAGAAAACCCUACUACAACAAACAUUAACCUAACACAAGAAUACUGCUGGAAAGAUUAAAAAAAGAGGAAGGAACUCGGCAAAUAUAAACCCCGCCUGUUUACCAAAAACAUCGCCUCUUGUUAAAUUAUAAGAGGUCCUGCCUGCCCCGUGAUUUAAUUUAACGGCCGCGGUAUCCUAACCGUGCAAAGGUAGCAUAAUCAAUUGUCCCUUAAAUCGGGACUAGUAUGAACGGCAUCACGAGGGUUAAACUGUCUCCCUCCUUAAAUCAAUGAAAUUAAUUUUCCCGUGAAGAAGCGGGGAUAAAAUUAUAAGACGAAAAGACCCCAUGGAGCUUUAAGCUUAUUACCAUUUAUCUAAUUAUCUAACAUAUUAAAUGAUAAAAGUGUUCUUUAAUAGCUUUCGGUUGGGGCGACCCUGGAGAAAAAUAAAUCCUCCAGAUUGAAAAUAAUAACCCUUAUAUAAGAACUACUGUUCAAAUAAACAAAAACUUGACAAAACUGACCCAGAAUUAACUGAUCAGUGGACCAAGUUACCCUGGGGAUAACAGCGCAAUCCAUUUCAAGAGCCCAUAUCGACAAAUGGGUUUACGACCUCGAUGUUGGAUCGGGGUAUCCUAGCAGCGCAGCUGUUGCUAAUGGUUCGUUUGUUCAACGAUUAACACC